rnacentral:rRNA from 1 species
UACGUAGGGUGCGAGCGUUGUCCGGAAUUAUUGGGCGUAAAGAGCUUGUAGGCGGUUUGUCACGUCGGCUGUGAAACCCUGGGGCUCAACCCCGGGCCUGCAGCCGAUACGGGCUGACUAGAAUUCGGUAGGGGAGUCUGGAAUUCCUGGUGUAGCGGUGAAAUGCGCAGAUAUCAGGAGGAACACCGGUGGCGAAGGCGGGACUCUGGGCCGAUAUUGACGCUGAGACGCGAAAGCGUGGGGAGCGAACAGG